AUGGGGCCAUUUGGGGUCAAUUUGGGGAUGAUUUGGGGUCAUUUGAGGACCAUUUUGGGUCAUUUUGGGGCCAUUUUGGGUACGAGCCUCUUUAGGAUUUUUAUGGGGCCAUUUAGGGCCAUUUUGGGGCCAUUUGGGGCCAUUUUGGGGACGAGGCUCUAUAGGAUUUUUAUAGGGCCACUUUGGGGCCAUUUAGGGCCAUUUUGGGUCAAUUUGGGGCCAUUUUGGGUACGAGGCUCUUUAGGAUUUUUAUGGGGCCAUUUGGGUCCAUUUGGGGUCAAUUUGGGGCCAUUUGGGGUCAUUUUGGGGCCGACAUCCUUUAGGAUUCUUAUAGGGCCCUUUAGAGACACUUUGGGGCCAUUUGGGGCCAUUUGGGGACCCUUUUUGGGGCCAUUUGGGGCCAUUUUGGUUACGAGGCUCUUUAGGAUUUUUAUGGGGCCAUUUGGGUCCAUUUGGGGUCAAUUUGGGGCCAUUUUGGGGUCAAUUUGGGGCCUUUUGGGGCCAUUUUGGGUACGAGGCUCUUUAGGAUUUUUAUGGGGCCAUUUGGGUCCAUUUGGGGUCAAUUUGGGGCCAUUUGGGACCAUUUUGGGGCCAAAAUUCUUUAGGAUUCUUAUAGGGCCAUUUAGGGACACUUUGGGGCCAUUUGGGGCCAUUUGGGGACCCUUUUUGGGGCCAUUUGGGGCCAUUUUGGGUACGAGGCUCUUUAGGAUUUUUAUGGGGCCAUUUGGGGCCAAUUUGGGGCCAUUUGGGGUCAUUUUGGGGCCGACAUUCUUUAGGAUUCUUAUAGGGCCAUUUAGGGACACUUUGGGGCCAUUUAGGGCCAUUUUGGGGUCAAGGCUCUUUAGGAUUUUUAUGGGGCCAUUUGGGUCCAUUUGGGGUCAAUUUGGGGCCAUUUUGGGGCCAUUUUGGGUCAAUUUGGGGCCAUUUUGGGGACGAGGCUCUUUAGGAUUUUUAUGGGGCCAUUUGGGUCCAUUUGGGGCCGUUUUGGGUACGAGGCUCUUUAGGAUUUUUAUGGGGCCAUUUGGGUCCAUUUGGGGUCAUUUUGGGGCCAUUUGGGGCCAUUUUGGGGACGAGGCUCUUUAG
rnacentral:lncRNA from 1 species